CCUACCUUAGAGACUGGGAUAGCCCUGAGAAAUCAGGAUUAAUACCGGAUGUGGUCACGACAAGGCAUCUUGACGUGCCUAAAGGCGCAAGCCGCUCAAUGACGGGCUCGCGGCUUAUUAGCUUGUUGGUGGGGUAAUGGCCUACCAAGGCGAUGAUGAGUAGCUGGUCUGAGAGGACGAUCAGCCACACUGGGACUGAGACACGGCCCAG
rnacentral:rRNA from 1 species